rnacentral:rRNA from 1 species
UACGUAGGGACCGAGCGUUGUCCGGAAUUAUUGGGCGUAAAGCGCGCGCAGGCGGCCUUUUAAGUCUGAUGUGAAAGCCCACGGCUCAACCGUGGAAGGUCAUUGGAAACUGAAAGGCUUGAGUACAGAAGAGGAAAGCGGAAUUCCACGUGUAGCGGUGAAAUGCGUAGAUAUUGGGAGGAACACCAGUGGCGAAGGCGGCUCACUGGACCGGUACUGACGCUGAUGCGCGAAAGCGUGGGGAGCAAACGGG